rnacentral:rRNA from 1 species
GGGGAAUCUUCCGCAAUGGACGAAAGUCUGACGGAGCAACGCCGCGUGAGUGAUGACGGCCUUCGGGUUGUAAAGCUCUGUUAAUCGGGACGAAUAGUUCUUGUGCGAAUAGCGCGAGGAUUUGACGGUACCGGAAUAGAAAGCCACGGCUAACUACGUGCCAGCAGCCGCGGUAAUACGUAGGUGGCAAGCGUUGUCCGGAAUUAUUGGGCGUAAAGCGCGCGCAGGCGGAUUGGUCAGUCUGUCUUAAAAGUUCGGGGCUUAACCCCGUGAUGGGAUGGAAACUGCCAAUCUAGAGUAUCGGAGAGGAAAGUGGAAUUCCUAGUGUAGCGGUGAAAUGCGUAGAUAUUAGGAAGAACACCAGUGGCGAAGGCGACUUUCUGGACGAAAACUGACGCUGAGGCGCGAAAGCCAGGGGAGCGAACGGGAUUAGAUACCCCGGUAGUCCUGGCCGUAAACGAUGGGUACUAGGUGUAGGAGGUAUCGACCCCUUCUGUGCCGGAGUUAACGCAAUAAGUACCCCGCCUGGGGAGUACGACCGCAAGGUUG